rnacentral:rRNA from 1 species
UGAGGAAUAUUGGACAAUGGAUGGAAAUCUGAUCCAGCCAUGCCGCGUGAGGGAAGGAGGCCCUAUGGGUUGUAAACCUCUUUUGUACGGGAGCAAUAAGGGCUACGUGUAGCCUGAUGAGAGUACCGUACGAAUAAGCAUCGGCUAACUCCGUGCCAGCAGCCGCGGUAAUACGGAGGAUGCGAGCGUUAUCCGGAUUUAUUGGGUUUAAAGGGUGCGUAGGCGGUUUGCCAAGUCAGCGGUGAAAAUCUCAGGCUCAACCUGGGGACUGCCGUUGAUACUGGCAGGCUGGAAUAUGGUUGCUGUGGGUGGAAUGUGUGGUGUAGCGGUGAAAUGCUUAGAGAUCACACAGAAUAUCGAUUGCGAAGGCAGCUCACAAAGCCAUGAUUGACGCUGAGGCACGAAAGUGUGGGGAUCAAACA